rnacentral:rRNA from 1 species
AUUCCCCUAGUAACUGCGAGUGAAGCGGGAAAAGCUCAAAUUUAAAAUCUGGUGGUCUUUUGGCCGUCCGAGUUGUAAUUUAGAGAAGCGUCUUCCGCGCUGGACCGUACACAAGUCUCCUGGAACGGAGCGUCAUAGAGGGUGAGAAUCCCGUCUUUGGUACGGACCCCCAGGGCUUCUGUGAUGCGCUCUCGAAGAGUCGAGUUGUUUGGGAAUGCAGCUCAAAAUGGGUGGUGAACUCCAUCUAAAGCUAAAUAUUGGCGAGAGACCGAUAGCGAACAAGUACCGUGAGGGAAAGAUGAAAAGCACUUUGGAAAGAGAGUGAAACAGUACGUGAAAUUGUUGAAAGGGAAACGCUUGAAGUCAGUCGCGUCCGCCGAGACUCAGCCUCGCUCCGGCUUGGCGUAUUUCUCGGUCGACGGGUCAGCAUCAAUUUCGUCCCUCGGAUAAUGGCGAGGGAAAGGUGGCACCUUUGCGGGUGUGUUAUAGUCUUUCGUCGCAUGCGAGGGGUGAGAUUGAGGAACUCAGCACGCGCGCCCUCUGGGGGUGUGUCGUGGCCUCGACCCACGCCACGUGCUUUGGAUGCUGGCGUAAUGGCUUUAAACGACCCGUCUUGAAACACGGACCAAGGAGUCUAACAUGCCCGCGAGUGUUCGGGUGGAAAACCCGUGCGCGUAAUGAAAGUGAAAGUUGGGACCUUCGUCGUGAAGGGCACCGACGCCCGGACCAGACCUUCUGUGACGGAUCUGCGGUGGAGCGUGCAUGUUGGGACCCGAAAGAUGGUGAACUAUGCCUGAAUAGGGUGAAGCCAGACGAAACUCUGGUGGAGGCUCGUAGCGAUUCUGACGUGCAAAUCGAUCGUCAAAUUUGGGUAUAGGGGCGAAAGACUAAUCGAACCAUCUAGUAGCUGGUCCUGCC